GACGUAGGGCGCGAGCGUUGUCCGGAUUUAUUGGGCAUAAAGAGCUCGUAGGCGGCUUGUCGCGUCGACUGUGAAAACUCGGGGCUCAACUCCGAGCUUGCAGUCGAUACGGGCAGGCUAGAGUUCGGUAGGGGAGACUGGAAUUCCUGGUGUAGCGGUGAAAUGCGCAGAUAUCAGGAGGAACACCGGUGGCGAAGGCGGGUCUCUGGGCCGAUAUUGACGCUGAGGAGCGAAAGCGUGGGGAGCGAACAGG
rnacentral:rRNA from 1 species